GUCUAUAUCCAUGCCACCCUGAACGUGUCCGAUCUCGUUUGAUCUCAGGAGCUAAGCAGGGUCGGGCCUGGUUAGUACUUGGAUGGGAGACCACCUAGGAAGACCAGGUGCUGUAGGCG
rnacentral:rRNA from 1 species